UACGUAGGGUGCAAGCGUUAAUCGGAAUUACUGGGCGUAAAGCGUGCGCAGGCGGUGAUGUAAGACAGAUGUGAAAUCCCCGGGCUUAACCUGGGAACUGCGUUUGAAACUACAAGGCUAGAGUGUGGCAGAGGGGGGUGGAAUUCCACGUGUAGCAGUGAAAUGCGUAGAGAUGUGGAGGAACACCGAUGGCGAAGGCAGCCCCCUGGGUCAAGAUUGACGCUCAUGCACGAAAGCGUGGGGAGCAAAAGGG
rnacentral:rRNA from 1 species